UGCCUUUAUGUGUUGCCCAUUCAUUUUCAUCUAGAUGAAUGUGGUGUCAAAUAAGGCGCACAGUAACUCUUGUAACAGCCUAAUGUGAUGGAAUAUCUUGGUUAUUUCCUUAUUAGUGCUGUGGCAAGAACAUAA